rnacentral:lncRNA from 1 species
AGUGUAUCCACAAAUCCAUAUUUAGGAAUUUAUUUCUCAUUUACCUUCAUCACGAUCCAUGCAUUCUUCAAUCUCUUGCAAAAGGAAAAAGAAAUUGUUUCGAUCCCCAGGAUUGAGGGGGCAACUAAUCUCAAAUAUUUUAGGCUAACCAGCUUUGUGGUGGUGUAUCUACAAGCUUACACAAGAGUGCUUGCUAAAAAGGUUCAGCAACAUUGUGGGUCUUGUGGUGGGUGAGGCACAAUAGGCUUUUGUUGGGGCUGCAGGAAGGAAGACAGAUUCUUAACGUCUCUUGGUCACUAAUGAAAUGGUCAUCUCUAUCUUUAGGAAUGGCGAGCAAGGUGUUCUAUGCAAACUUGAUAUUGAGAAAGCUUAUGACCAUCUUUCGUGGUCCUUCCUCUAUCUGCUUAAGUGGAUGGGAUUCGAUGACGUAUGGUGUUAGUAGACCAUAGUGUCUCUUUUCAUUAAUUUUCUGUCCUUAAUAAUGGUGGGCCAUCGGAUGUUUUCAAGCCUUCCAAGAGUCUAAGGCAGAGGGAGCUUGUUAUUUUUUAUCUUAGUCAUGGAAACUUUUGACUUUGUAAUUCUAAGAGCGAGAGAGACCGGCCUGUUUGAGGGGCUUUGUAUGAGGAUCGGUACUAACAAGACCCAAAUCAUCAUCCUUGAUUUAAAACGCACUCUCUUAUUAGGUUGUAGAAAUUUUUUUUCCCUAGAGUACCUUGGCCUCUCUCUUGGCAUCGAAGUAAAGGAGAAGGCCACUUGGGAUCCCCUUUUUCUAGAAAUGGAAGUGGUUGUGUGAGUAAAAAUGGAUCUAUCUCUCUGAGAGUGGAAGCCUCACUCUAAUUAAAGUGCAUUCUCCAAUCUUUUGGAUCUACUGUAUGUUCCUUUUCUCUAUUCACGUGAAAUUAGCAAAGAGUAUUGAAUCUAUUGCAGGUUUUUGUUGGGUGAUUCCAGAAGCAAAGAAAAUAUCGUUUGGUGGCUCAAAUGCUAAAAGUUGACUUCCAUAAAUUGAAUCACAGACUGCCAGUAACUUGACUCUGAGCUUUUGAAGGCUGGUGGUUUAGAUCCAAAAAAAAGUUGUUAGAUUAGUGGUACUUGGACACAAGGCGUUACACCUCUUCAUUCCUCGUCCACUAGGGAUAAUUGGCUUAGGAUCCUGCUUAUUUUGUUUAAGGGUCAUCCUGUUCUGGAUGAAGUGAGUUUUGCAGAUCUGUUUGAUCUCUUCACUCUUAGUAGAGCUCUUCUGUAUGUGUGUGGCACUCCUCUGGUGGCUUGUUAUAAUUACUUUUUGCUCUCUUAAAAGAAAAAAGAAAAUUUUGCCAAUUGUAUGCUAACUAUUAUGACAUUUUUUUCUGCCAUUCCUCACCUCCACCCCCCCUGACACUCCAACCCCACAACUUUUUGGACCCAAACUAUCAGCAGUCAAAAAUUUAAACUCAAGUUAUUAGUAGUGUGUAAGAUGAAUUCUUAUACAGUGCUCAAUAUCUCCACAUUGAAAAGGUAUAUGAUCAUUGACUUUCAAAUAAAAACUUAAAUCAUACACUACCAAUAACUUGAGUUUGAGCUUUUGACUACUGGCAGUUUGGGUCCAAGGAGUUGUUGGGUUACUGGUAAGCAUUGUACUUGUAUUGACUUAGGACCCUGCUUAUUUUGUUCAAGGAUCAUCUAAUUCUGGAUGAGAUGAAUGUUGCAAAUCUAUUUUAUCUCUUCACUCUGAGUAAGAGCUCUUUAUACUUGUGUGGUACUCCUGUGACGGCUUGUUAUAAUUAUCUUUUUCUCUCUUAAAGAAAAAAAAAAUUUGUAUGCUAACUAAUAUGACAUUUUUUCUGGCAUCCCUAAUUCUCUGAUUUCAGAAAGCCUGUUACUAGAACAAACUGUGAGUCAGUCUCCCUUUUAUUUUUUUUUACUGGUUACCUCAUUUAAGAUUUUUCCCUGUUCUUUCACCUCGUCAUUGCAAGCUAGAGAUGCUAUCAUUCUUGGUGACCUUUACUGUACAUUCUAGAUCUGUAGCAGUGUUCAGUUCAUCCCUUGGAGACCAUGGGAAGGUACUUUUAAGUUAUUAUCUAAUAUAUUUUUCCUAAUGUUUGGACACAAUAGAGAGACAUGAAAUUUUAUUUACAUCUAAAAGUUCCAAUUGCUACCAUAAAGUUUCUUCUAUCCAGCUGAAACUAUAGGGAAUUUUGAUUGUGUAUUCGAAUGGACUUGUUAAAUGAAGACAUGCAACAAUUCUGUCAGAAUUACAUCUAGCUUGUUUCACUCUAUUAUGUGAAUUGUGUUUUGUGAAAUUUCUUUUUCUGAAUGUUAUUUAUGUUGUGUGCUUUGGC